UACGGAGGGUGCAAGCGUUAUCCGGAUUCACUGGGUUUAAAGGGUGCGUAGGCGGGCAGGUAAGUCAGUGGUGAAAUCCUUGAGCUUAACUCGAGAACUGCCAUUGAUACUAUCUGUCUUGAAUAUUGUGGAGGUAAGCGGAAUAUGUCAUGUAGCGGUGAAAUGCUUAGAUAUGACAUAGAACACCAAUUGCGAAGGCAGCUGGCUACACAAAUAUUGACACUGAGGCACGAAAGCGUGGGGAUCAAACAGG
rnacentral:rRNA from 1 species